rnacentral:rRNA from 1 species
UACAUGGGGUGCAAACGUUGCUCGGAAUCAUUGGGCGUAAAGCGCGCGUAGGCGGUUGCUUAAGUCGGAUGUGAAAGCCCUCGGCUUAACUGAGGAAGUGCAUCCGAAACUGAGCAGCUAGAGUACGAAAGAGGGUCGCGGAAUUCCCGGUGUAGAGGUGAAAUUCGUAGAUAUCGGGAGGAACACCGGUGGCGAAGGCGGCGACCUGGGUCGAGACUGACGCUGAGGCGCGAAAGCGUGGGGAGCAAACGGG